UACAGAGGGUGCAAGCGUUAAUCGGAAUUACUGGGCGUAAAGCGUGCGUAGACGGUUAUGUAAGUCAGAUGUGAAAGCCCCGGGCUUAACCUGGGAAUGGCAUUUGAGACUGCAUAGCUAGGGUGCGGAAGAGGGAAGCGGAAUUUCCGGUAUAGCGGUGAAAUGCGUAGAUAUCGGAAGGAACACCAGUGGCGAAAGCGGCUUCCUGGUCCAGCACCGACGUUCAGGCACGAAAGCGUGGGGAGCAAACAGG
rnacentral:rRNA from 1 species